rnacentral:lncRNA from 1 species
UUAGGGGGCCCAUUUCCCAGCUCCUGCCAGGCUCUCCACCCAUUUGUGGUCAAGGCAAGAGAGACCACACCCCCUUGAAUGUCCAGGCACUGAGUCCCUGCCGGCUACUCAUACGGAUGGGCCCUCCCCAGCCAUUCCUCACCACGGCUGCGUCCGGAUCCACACCACAACCACAGCAUUGUUGGAAAGCAACUGCACACCUCCCUGCAACUUCCCCUCGCAUCCCCCAGACUGAGUCAUGCAGGCGGUGCCCGUGGGCAGACCUGGCCAGGGUUGGCACCAGCUGGCCAGAGAGAAUGAGAGGCACUGACCACACCCAGGAACCUCGCUAAAGCCCAUGCAUAAGGGUCAGGAGAGCAGCCAGAUGCUGGGACCCAAGGGUGCCUGUGACACACACCACCCUGAAAGUUGCAGCUGAGCUUUUCUGAGAAGGAUGGCAAAGUCCUGGAAAAGCUUUAACGACAAAACUCAACAUAUGGAAGGCAGAGGAAGCAGGAUGGAUGGCUGCUUGCCAGGGGAUCCAACCGUCUGCUCAGAGCCCCACCCUCCACAUUCGGGGAGGAGAGAGGAACCGAAGGUUGAUCACCAAUGGCCAGUGAUGUAAUUGAUCAUGCCUACAUAAUGAAAUCGCCAUAAAAACCCGUAACGACUGAGUUCAGGGGUUUCCCAGGAAGGUGGUCUUGUAUGGAAGAUUUUGUAUUCGGGGAUGGAAGCUUUUGUAUUUGAGGCCCUUCCAGAGUGUGCCCCGUUUAUGUCUUCAUCUGGCUUUUCAUUUGUAUCCUUUAAAAUAUGCUUUAUGAUAAACUGCUAAACGUAAGCAAAUGCUUCCCUGCAUUCUGUGAGGUGCUCUAGCAAAUUAAUCAAACCCAAGAAGAGGGUCAUGAGAAUCCUGAUUUAUAGCCAGUUGGCCAGAAGUACAGGUAAUACAACCUGGGGCUUGUAAUUGGCACUG